rnacentral:lncRNA from 1 species
CAUAUACACAGGUUAGAUUUUCUUUUUUUGGGUUUUUUUUUUGAAUUUUUAGAAUUAAUUUUUUAUUAGGUAUUUUCCUCAUUUACAUUUCCAGUGCUAUCCAAAAAGUCCCCAAUACACCCCCCCAACUCCCCUACCCACCCACUCCCACACAAGUUAGAUUUAAAAAAAACAAACAAACAUAACUAUGAUUUCAUGGGAAGGAAUGGAUACCACAGCUCAGCAGGCUUCCAAAUGAGUAGUUAAUGAUGUGGAGAGCUCUGGGCUGCACCGUGGUCCCUAGUUGUUGAGAACCUGCUUGUUAGGGUAGGGGAAGUGUGCGCACCACACAGUGAUGUAGUGUGUGCUCUGGACUGGUUAGUCUGCUUAAGACACUCUUAGGCGAUGUACUGUCUGUCUGUGGGAACUGGCUAACACUGAAGCGGGCAGUUCCUACAAGGCCUCCAAUUCGAAGCAUUAUAAAAUCUAUGAAAACAAAACAUGGUUGCUGGUGAAUUCUCUCUGAGGGGCAGAAAUGGUGGUGCAAGUGUUUCCAAAGUAGAGACAAGUAGUACUUGAAGUGAGCUACGAACUAGAGGGCGUGGGCAUGGGCAGGGGCAUGGGCAGGGACAUGGGCAGGGGCAUGGGCAUGGGCAGGGACAUGGGCAUGGGCAUGGACAGGGG